UACGUAGGGUGCAAGCGUUAAUCGGAAUUACUGGGCGUAAAGGGCUCGUAGGCGGCCAACUAAGUCAGACGUGAAAUCCCUCGGCUUAACCGGGGAACUGCGUCUGAUACUGGAUGGCUUGAGUGUGGGAGAGGGAUGCGGAAUUCCAGGUGUAGCGGUGAAAUGCGUAGAUAUUGGGAGGAACACCAGUGGCGAAGGCGGCUCACUGGACCGGAACUGACGCUGAGGCGCGAAAGCGUGGGGAGCAAACAGG
rnacentral:rRNA from 1 species